GCGGCCGCAACAGCCUCUUCCGUCCCAGCAGGAAACUUGGACAGCACUCCGAGCAAAGACCUCAUAACGCCACAAGGUUCAAAGGAGGGGAAAAAUAUAUUCGGAGAAGGGAAACAGAGGAGUGUCUGAGCCUUCUGAGGCGAGAGAGUGAGAGCGGGCUCUUUACACAGAGUAUCAAUUGGCGGGACCGAAGGGAGGAGAGCGACUUUCGGCUCGUCUAGGCGGGACACCAUCAAACUCCACCCACCUUCUUUGCUCCGUCGUGGAACGAAAAAACCAUAGAGCUAGAGGCUAGAAUGGCACGGGUCCCCUUGCUUCCGGUCUGGUUUCAGAUUUGUUCUGAAACUCUGUCAAAGUGGGGCUAUCCUGCGUCCAACCUGACCGUAUUGGUUGUUCAACACAAGAAGUCGGUGAACCGAUUUCACUUGAAAUCCUUCUGAGUAGGAGAUCAACUCUAAAUUCAACCCCACACAGGAACCCACAAAUAUCAUAAUUUCAGUUUGUAAAUGACCAAUUCAGAAACUUGUGGCAAUCAUACAACAGUGUGCAGAACUUUCUUCCUUCUUCAAGAACAUGUAAUAAAGGAUAAUGAACAGCAGCAAUUAUGAGUGAGAAUAAGAGUGAAGGAAGAUUGAUGGCAAAGGCAUGGGAGGUCAAAUUGAAAACUCAGCUUCCUGGUACUGAGUUGCUUUAAAUUUGUACUUCUAAAAUGUCUACAGGGUGAAAGGGUAGCAUGGGAUAAUUGUUGUGUUACUAAGCAUUCCUUUCUUCACACAUCUAUAUUCAGACAUACAACAGCUGAAUCAACUGGUUUCCCCUUUGUCAUCAGCUCUGCAAUAUUCACCAAAAUAUAAGUGGACAGAAUCACAUUCACUAGCAGAAUACCAUUACAUGAUAGCUGAGAAUAUUCAUAGAAGCCUUCACAUUUUUGCAUUUGUUGCUUGAAGAAUUUUAGUCACUGGGUUGUUGCUUUCCUGGAUGAGCAUUUGAGUAGAUGUAAUUAUGAUAUAUAUUCUGUGUUUAAAUGAUAUAUGUUCUAUGUUUAAAUAUGACAGUAUUAAUUCAU